rnacentral:rRNA from 1 species
UUUCCAGACUCCUACGGGAGGCAGCAGUGAGGAAUAUUGGUCAAUGGGCUUACGCCUGAACCAGCCAAGUCGCGUGAGGGAAGACUGCCCUAUGGGUUGUAAACCUCUUUUGUCAGGGAGCAACGCCGGCUACGUGUAGCCGGACUGAGAGUACCUGAAGAAAAAGCAUCGGCUAACUCCGUGCCAGCAGCCGCGGUAAUACGGAGGAUGCGAGCGUUAUCCGGAUUCAUUGGGUUUAAAGGGUGCGUAGGUUGUUUUAUAAGUUAGCGGUGAAAUACCGAUGCUCAACAUCGGGGCUGCCGCUAAUACUGUAGGACUAGAGAUCGGAUGCAGCAGGCGGAAUGUGUAGUGUAGCGGUGAAAUGCAUAGAUAUUACACAGAACACCGAUUGCGAAGGCAGCUUGCUAGGCCGGAUCUGACACUGAUGCACGAAAGCGUGGGGAUCGAACAGGAUUAGAUACCCCAGUAC